rnacentral:rRNA from 1 species
AUACGCAGCGUACACAUGCAAGUCGAGCGGUAACAGGGGUAGCUUGCUACCCGCUGACGAGCGGCGGACGGGUGAGUAAUGCAUAGGAAUCUACCCGGUAGUGGGGGAUAACCUGGGGAAACCCAGGCUAAUACCGCAUACGUCCUACGGGAGAAAGGGGGCUUUGGCUCCCGCUAUCGGAUGAGCCUAUGCCGGAUUAGCUGGUUGGUGAGGUAAUGGCUCACCAAGGCGACGAUCCGUAGCUGGUCUGAGAGGAUGAUCAGCCACAUCGGGACUGAGACACGGCCCGAACUCCUACGGGAGGCAGCAGUGGGGAAUAUUGGACAAUGGGCGAAAGCCUGAUCCAGCCAUGCCGCGUGUGUGAAGAAGGCCCUCGGGUUGUAAAGCACUUUCAGUGAGGAAGAACGCCUGUCGGUUAAUACCCGGCAGGAAAGACAUCACUCACAGAAGAAGCACCGGCUAACUCCGUGCCAGCAGCCGCGGUAAUACGGAGGGUGCAAGCGUUAAUCGGAAUUACUGGGCGUAAAGCGCGCGUAGGUGGCUUGAUAAGCCGGUUGUGAAAGCCCCGGGCUCAACCUGGGAACGGCAUCCGGAACUGUC